rnacentral:rRNA from 1 species
UACGUAGGGGGCAAGCGUUGUCCGGAAUUAUUGGGCGUAAAGAGCUUGUAGGCGGUCUGUCGCGUCUGCUGUGAAAAUCCGGGGCUCAACCCCGGACUUGCAGUGGGUACGGGCAGACUAGAGUGUGGUAGGGGAGACUGGAAUUCCUGGUGUAGCGGUGAAAUGCGCAGAUAUCAGGAGGAACACCAAUGGCGAAGGCAGCUCGCUGGGACGGUACUGACGCUGGAGACGCGAAAGCGUGGGGAGCAAACAGG